AGCCCUCUUGUCUCAGGCAUGUGGUGAUGACCCUGGCCCACAAAAUAAACAUGCUGCAACAACGAGGCGUACCGUCAUGCUCGUGUGACGGACAGUACUUCUGCGGCCAAAACGGAUGCGCUCUGUACUCGAUUAAGCCAGCACCGUUUGUUGGAAUCUAGUGUAUUUUUUUUUAAUUUAAUUCAAUCAUUAUUCU